rnacentral:rRNA from 1 species
AGCAGCAGCCACGGUAAUACAGAGGGUGCGAGCGUUAAUCGGAUUUACUGGGCGUAAAGCGUGCGUAGGCGGCUUCUUAAGUCGGAUGUGAAAUCCCUGAGCUUAACUUAGGAAUUGCAUUCGAUACUGGGAAGCUAGAGUAUGGGAGAGGAUGGUAGAAUUCCAGGUGUAGCGGUGAAAUGCGUAGAGAUCUGGAGGAAUACCGAUGGCGAAGGCAGCCAUCUGGCCUAAUACUGACGCUGAGGUACGAAAGCAUGGGGAGCAAACAGGAUUAGAUACCCCAGUAGUCCCUGUCUCUUAUAC